rnacentral:snRNA from 1 species
UGACUUCGUGUAAAAUUUAUCAGAGUGAACUAUUCUUUCGCCUUUUACUUAAGAGUACCGUGUGUUCGUCACGCUAUAAUGGUAUAAUCUAAUUUUUUUUGGGUUUAAAUUUUUUAAGUUA